ACGCAAAGCAAGGGCUUAACCCACAGUGUCUCAGUAUUUCGCCUCUUCAAUCUGUUAAGUAAGGAGAUGUGACGAUUUUUACAUUGGUCCGUGUUUCUGAAUUACCGUGACCGACAAUCCUUACCAAUUUCUGAUCUCCAUUAUCAGGUAGAACUAUUUAGUUGUUGUAUUUGUUUCUUUAAUUGUUUUCUUGCGUAUAUUGUGAUUUGUUUUGGCUCAGUGAUUUUCUUGCUUUAAUUGCAGUAUACGCUAUUCCGAUUUAUUACCUGAGCGGAAAUUUAAUCGUGUAUGAGAGCCAUUUAUUUGUUAGUUUUCGAAGUGUUUUUAUUGUUAUUCACGUAAUGGCUUAUUGUGAUUAACGUUUUCUAAUUUUGAUUUAUUUACAUAUUAUUCUGCUAUGAUGAUUUAAGAAUAAAAUUCACAUGUCAGACUUCAGAGAUUUUAAAAAUCAAUGAGAAUGACAAUUCUUUUCCUGAGCGGAUCAUCCGACAUUUUAUAUUAUAUUAUUUUCUAUUAUUGUAAUGAUUUUGUUAUUCUGUUUAAUAUAAUUUUAUUGACGGGAGAUUUCUGAUCUGGAGUCUCGCACUUUUUUGAGGGCAAACAAAUUGUGUUUGCAUGUUCUCAAGUAACCGUCAUAAAACAAUUCUCCGGCGUGACGGAGCCGCCCUUAGGGUUGGCAUCUCCGCUGGGGUGGUCUCAUAUUCCAUUGCUUUGUGGAGCGGCGUCGCUGCCUUUACCAUUAAUGGCCGGCCAUGAGACAAACAUUCU